rnacentral:rRNA from 1 species
GGAUGUGAANUCCCCGGGCUCAACCUGGGAACUGCGUUNUGAACUGGGUGACUAGAGUGUGUCAGAGGGAGGUAGAAUUCCACGUGUAGCAGUGAAAUGCGUAGAGAUGUGGAGGAAUACCGAUGGCGAAGGCAGCCUCCUGGGAUAACACUGACGUUCAUGCCCGAAAGCGUGGGUAGCAAACAGGAUUAGAUACCCUGGUAGUCCACGCCCUAAACGAUGUCGAUUAGCUGUUGGGCAGCAUGACUGCUUAGUAGCGAAGCUAACGCGUGAAAUCGACCGCCUGGGGAGUACGGUCGCAAGAUUAAAACUCAAAGGAAUUGACGGGGACCCGCACAAGCGGUGGAUGAUGUGGAUUAAUUCGAUGCAACGCGAAGAACCUUACCUGGUCUUGACAUGUACGGAAUCCUCCAGAGACGGAGGAGUGCCUUCGGGAGCCGUAACACAGGUGCUGCAUGGCUGUCGUCAGCUCGUGUCGUGAGAUGUUGGGUUAAGUCCCGCAACGAGCGCAACCCUUGUCAUUAGUUGCCAUCAUUAAGUUGGGCACUCUAAUGAGACUGCCGGUGACAAGCCGGAGGAAGGUGGGGAUGACGUCAAGUCCUCAUGGCCCUUAUGACCAGGGCUUCACACGUCAUACAAUGGUCGGUACAGAGGGUAGCCAAGCCGCGAGGCGGAGCCAAUCUCACAAAACCGAUCGUAGUCCGGAUUGCACUCUGCAACUCGAGUGCAUGAAGUCGGAAUCGCUAGUAAUCGCAGGUCAGCAUACUGCGGUGAAUACGUCCCCGGGUCUUGUACACACCGCCCGUCACACCAUGGGAGUGGGGGAUACCAGAAGUAGGUAGGGUAACCGCAAGGAGCCCGCUUACCACGGUAUGCUUCA